UACGUAGGGUGCGAGCGUUAAUCGGAAUUACUGGGCGUAAAGCGUGCGCAGGCGGCGCGUUAAGACAGGUGUGAAAGCCCCGGGCUCAACCUGGGAACUGCAUUUGUGACAGCAUCGCUGGAGUGCGGCAGAGGGGGAUGGAAUUCCGCGUGUAGCAGUGAAAUGCGUAGAUAUGCGGAGGAACACCGAUGGCGAAGGCAAUCCCCUGGGCCUGCACUGACGCUCAUGCACGAAAGCGUGGGGAGCAAACAGG
rnacentral:rRNA from 1 species